rnacentral:rRNA from 1 species
UACGUAGGGGGCAAGCGUUGUCCGGAUUUAUUGGGCGUAAAGCGCGCGUAGGCGGCUACCUAAGUCGGAUGUGAAAGCCCCUGGCUUAACCGGGGAAGUGCACCCGAAACUGGGUAGCUAGAGUGCAAAAGAGGGUCGCGGAAUUCCCAGUGUAGAGGUGAAAUUCGUAGAUAUUGGGAGGAACACCGGUGGCGAAGGCGGCGACCUGGGUUGACACUGACGCUGAGGCGCGAAAGCGUGGGGAGCAAACAGG